rnacentral:rRNA from 1 species
GACGAACGCUGGCGGCGUGCUUAACACAUGCAAGUCGAGCGGUAAGGCCCUUUCGGGGGUACGACGAGCGGCGAACGGGUGAGUAACACGUGGGUGACCUGCCCUCCAGCUCUGGGAUAAGCCUGGGAAACGUGGGUCUAAUACUGGAUAUGACUCCACGGUGCAUGUCGUGGGGUGGAAAGCCUUGUGCGGCUGAGGAUGGGCCCGCGGCCUAUCAGCUUGUUGGU